GUAAGUACAUGUUUCCUUUUUGUGUAACGCAAUAUUAUGUUAACAUUGUUUUUAGUUUAUAUAUUUAAAAUGUGUAGUCAUCUUUGUUCUUGCCUAACUAGAUAAAGUAGCCUUGUUUAUGCAAUGUUGCUAGUACAUGUAGAAUUUUAACGAGUUAUAAUAGGUAGCAAAAGCUUUACAUCUAGAAAGACUAAAUUUAACUUUUAGUGUUUUCUUACAAAAAUAACGAUGUAUAUAUGUUUAAAUAAUUUUGUUUGCCUGAACAAGUAUGCUGCUAGUCCAGUAGCUAGAGUGGCUAGUAAGUGUUAGCUAGCACAUGCUGUUUUGCCUUUGUUACACACUGUGGCUUUGUGCUGUGUUGCUACUGUACUGGAUUUAAGGCGAUUAUGAUUUCUAAUUCUCUGAACUGCUGUACUUUUUAAGUUAGAGGAAAAUUCUGUGUUCACUUGAAUCACAACACUCGGUGAAUACAUUUUAUUUUUAACAAUUUCAUUUUGAUAAUGUUUCCCCCCACAGCAUAGCUACUCUAUAUUCCUAACGUUAACAAUCCGGUUUUGUUCAUGUUUUCUUGGAGAUACCUUGGCCAGAGCAUAACCGGUUAUCUUCACCCAAGAGACCUACUGUUGGUCAAUCGUUUUGGCUUUAAAGAAGUUGCAUUGAUUCCAGAAAACGAGGACAAUGUUGAGCCAUCUGUAGACGUCAGAGCUGAACCAGGUUUCUCCCCAGUAUUCCAGACUCCACUUCACAGAGCCAAGAGUUUGAGUACAACUCGUCAAGUACUAAGCUUUACACCACCAGCAGCAAAUUUACCCUGGCAGCAUAUGGGUGAAAACGCUGGAGAUUUCCAGAGACUCCAGAAUGAAAACCAAGCUCUGAGGGAGGAGAACCAAGCCCUGAGGGAAUGCAAUGCACAAGCAGCUUCGGAUGAAAGCGGCUCACUUCAAGAGCAGGUGAAGCAAGUAGGGACAAUGUUGAAGACGUUUGCUUUCACUGGGCAAUCAGGUACAAUUUGCAAACAACACCUGUGGUUGUUAGUUUAAUACCUGUACAUGUAGUAGACCUAGAUAUAAAUGUUGUAGUUUAGUUACGCGUUUCCUGAAAGGAGCAUCUGACCGUGAAGGCAGAAAAAGGUGCCGCACAGCUGAGAAGGACCCACAGCCGACCCCUUAAACCUAGGCUGACUACUGACACCCCAGCAUCACUGAACUGGAACACUUUAUUUAUCCUGCAGUCAGUAACAUUAAGAAGCCAAAAGUGCCAGACUACACUCACCAAAUCCACCCUGUUUUUGUUUUUGUAUUUUAACUUUAGUAUUGGCUUAUUUCAUUCUGUCUUAACGAUUCUAUUAUAGUUUGUAAAUCCUAUUUCAUACCUGUUACUUGAUAUUGCAAAUUAACUAGUACCAAAAUUCUACUUUCAUUUCAUCAGUGUGCUUAACUG
ensembl:lncRNA